rnacentral:pre_miRNA from 1 species
CUAGUAGUAAGUUAGGGGCUUUGGGAAGAGCAUCAGCUUUUUCAAACUUUUUGAAACAUCUGUUGGUCUAGUCUGAAAGAAUUGAUGCUCUUCUUAAAGCGCCCAAGUGACCCGCUAUAG